rnacentral:rRNA from 1 species
GGGUUGUGAGGUUAAGCGACUAAGCGUACACGGUGGAUGCCCUGGCAGUCAGAGGCGAUGAAGGACGUGCUAAUCUGCGAUAAGCGUCGGUAAGGUGAUAUGAACCGUUAUAACCGGCGAUUUCCGAAUGGGGAAACCCAGUGUGAUUCGUCACACUAUCAUUAACUGAAUCCAUAGGUUAAUGAGGCGAACCGGGGGAACUGAAACAUCUAAGUACCCCGAGGAAAAGAAAUCAACCGAGAUUCCCCCAGUAGCGGCGAGCGAACGGGGAGCAGCCCAGAGCCUGAAUCAGUGUGUGUGUUAGUGGAAGUGUCUGGAAAGGCGCGCGAUACAGGGUGACAGCCCCGUACACAAAAAUGCACAUACUGUGAGCUCGAUGAGUAGGGCGGGACACGUGGUAUCCUGUCUGAAUAUGGGGGGACCAUCCUCCAAGGCUAAAUACUCCUGACUGACCGAUAGUGAACCAGUACCGUGAGGGAAAGGCGAAAAGAACCCCGGCGAGGGGAGUGAAAAAGAACCUGAAACCGUGUACGUACAAGCAGUGGGAGCACGCUUCGGCGUGUGACUGCGUACCUUUUGUAUAAUGGGUCAGCGACUUAUAUUCUGUAGCAAGGUUAACCGAAUAGGGGAGCCGAAGGGAAACCGAGUCUUAACUGGGCGUUAAGUUGCAGGGUAUAGACCCGAAACCCGGUGAUCUAGCCAUGGGCAGGUUGAAGGUUGGGUAACACUAACUGGAGGACCGAACCGACUAAUGUUGAAAAAUUAGCGGAUGACUUGUGGCUGGGGGUGAAAGGCCAAUCAAACCGGGAGAUAGCUGGUUCUCCCCGAAAGCUAUUUAGGUAGCGCCUCGUGAAUUCAUCUCCGGGGGUAGAGCACUGUUUCGGCAAGGGGGUCAUCCCGACUUACCAACCCGAUGCAAACUGCGAAUACCGGAGAAUGUUAUCACGGGAGACACACGGCGGGUGCUAACGUCCGUCGUGAAGAGGGAAACAACCCAGACCGCCAGCUAAGGUCCCAAAGUCAUGGUUAAGUGGGAAACGAUGUGGGAAGGCCCAGACAGCCAGGAUGUUGGCUUAGAAGCAGCCAUCAUUUAAAGAAAGCGUAAUAGCUCACUGGUCGAGUCGGCCUGCGCGGAAGAUGUAACGGGGCUAAACCAUGCACCGAAGCUGCGGCAGCGACACUAUGUGUUGUUGGGUAGGGGAGCGUUCUGUAAGCCUGUGAAGGUGGCCUGUGAGGGUUGCUGGAGGUAUCAGAAGUGCGAAUGCUGACAUAAGUAACGAUAAAGCGGGUGAAAAGCCCGCUCGCCGGAAGACCAAGGGUUCCUGUCCAACGUUAAUCGGGGCAGGGUGAGUCGACCCCUAAGGCGAGGCCGAAAGGCGUAGUCGAUGGGAAACAGGUUAAUAUUCCUGUACUUGGUGUUACUGCGAAGGGGGGACGGAGAAGGCUAUGUUGGCCGGGCGACGGUUGUCCCGGUUUAAGCGUGUAGGCUGGUUUUCCAGGCAAAUCCGGAAAAUCAAGGCUGAGGCGUGAUGACGAGGCACUACGGUGCUGAAGCAACAAAUGCCCUGCUUCCAGGAAAAGCCUCUAAGCAUCAGGUAACAUCAAAUCGUACCCCAAACCGACACAGGUGGUCAGGUAGAGAAUACCAAGGCGCUUGAGAGAACUCGGGUGAAGGAACUAGGCAAAAUGGUGCCGUAACUUCGGGAGAAGGCACGCUGAUAUGUAGGUGAAGUCCCUUGCGGAUGGAGCUGAAAUCAGUCGAAGAUACCAGCUGGCUGCAACUGUUUAUUAAAAACACAGCACUGUGCAAACACGAAAGUGGACGUAUACGGUGUGACGCCUGCCCGGUGCCGGAAGGUUAAUUGAUGGGGUUAGCGGUAACGCGAAGCUCUUGAUCGAAGCCCCGGUAAACGGCGGCCGUAACUAUAACGGUCCUAAGGUAGCGAAAUUCCUUGUCGGGUAAGUUCCGACCUGCACGAAUGGCGUAAUGAUGGCCAGGCUGUCUCCACCCGAGACUCAGUGAAAUUGAACUCGCUGUGAAGAUGCAGUGUACCCGCGGCAAGACGGAAAGACCCCGUGAACCUUUACUAUAGCUUGACACUGAACAUUGAGCCUUGAUGUGUAGGAUAGGUGGGAGGCUUUGAAGUGUGGACGCCAGUCUGCAUGGAGCCGACCUUGAAAUACCACCCUUUAAUGUUUGAUGUUCUAACGUUG